rnacentral:rRNA from 1 species
CCUACGGGAGGCAGCAGUGGGGAAUAUUGCGCAAUGGGCGAAAGCCUGACGCAGCGACGCCGCGUGAGGGAUGAAGGUCUUCGGAUCGUAAACCUCUGUCAGCAGGGAAGAACGGUCACUGUGCUAAUCAGCAGUGAAUUGACGGUACCUGCAAAGGACGCACCGGCUAACUCCGUGCCAGCAGCAGCGGUAAUACGGCGGGUGCGAGCGUUAAUCGGAAUUACUUGGCGUAAAGCGCUCGUAGACGGUAUGUCAAGUCAAGGGUGAAACCCCCGCGCUCAACGUGGGAACUGCCUUUUAAACUGGCAAACUGGAGUGUGGGAGAGGAUAGUGGAAUUCGAGGUGUAGGAGUGAAAUCCGUAGAUAUCUGGAGGAACAUCAGUUGCGAAGGCGACUAUCGGGCACAUAACUGACGCUGAGGCUCGAAAGCAUGGGGAUCAAACAGGAUUAGAUACCCGGGUAGUC